rnacentral:lncRNA from 1 species
GGGACAUCCCUUUAAAUAGGCAUGAAGAUUGAAUCCUAUUCAAUCUCAUAAUACAAGUCCUACUUGCAUUGAGUUUCUUAAUAAUUUAAGUUAUUCAACUUACAUUAGGAAUCCUAUUAGGUGACAACUCUUAGAGCCCUUGCAUCCAUUAUUUCAUACCCUCUUUUGCACCCAAAGGAUGCCCCAUAUGAAAUCAAAAGGCCCUUUAAUCAUGGGAUACGCCC